rnacentral:rRNA from 1 species
GACGAACGCUGGCGGCGUGCUUAACACAUGCAAGUCGAGCGGUAAGGCCCUUUCGGGGGGUACACGAGCGGCGAACGGGUGAGUAACACGUGGGUGACCUGCCCUCAGCUCGUGGGAUAAGCCUGGGAAACCGGGUCUAAUACUGGAUAUGACUCCAUGACGCAUGUUGUGGGGUGGAAAGCCUUGUGCGGCUGAGGAUGGGCCCGCGGCCUAUCAGCUUGUUGGUGGGGUGANGGCCUACCAAGGCGACGACGGGUAGCCGGCCUGAGA